UUCGCACCGGUAAUAUGAGGGAAGGGGAAGGGGCUAGCAUUUGAGGAGGAGGGGAUAGGAGGUCUGCAUUCGGGGAGGAGGGGAAGGAGGCUGCAUUCGGGAGGAGGGGAAGGAGGCUGCAUUCGGGGAGGAGGGGAAAGGCUGCAUUCGGAGAGGAGGGGAAGGAGGCUGCAUUUGGGGAGGAGGGGAAGGAGGCUGCAUUCGGGGCAGAGAGGGAAGAGACUGGGCAUUCGGAGGAUGAGAGGGAGAGGACUGCUUCGGUGAGAGGGCAGGAGGCGCUUUGGAAGGGGGAGGCUUGCAUUUGGGGAGAGAGGGAAGGAGCCUGAGUUUGGGGAGGGGGGGUGGAGGCUGCAUUUGAGGAGAAGACAGAUGGCUGUUUGUGGAGGAGGGAAUGGAGGGACAGCCAGGGAUGACAGUUCAGCCCAGGAGACAUGCUGGGAUCCAGCAGCCUUGUA
rnacentral:lncRNA from 1 species